AAAGAAUAAUCCCGCCCCACCGAGGACUGUGGGGUGCUAUGGGCUGCUCCACAGGGUGCAUGUCUGUGCACGUGUCUGCGAGGGCACCUGUCGGUGUCUGGCGUGUGUACCCAGAGUGCAAAGGUGGCAUACUCAGGCGCACUCGGGCACCCCCUGCAAGACAGCAGAGCUUGUUGGAAUCUCUGGAACCCAGAGCGGGGAGGUGCUUGGCCUUCUUUGCUCCGGUGAGUCCCCACAAAUCAACAACUCCUGGACCUCUAAGUUAAGAUAGCUUUUACCAAAAUCAGUCCCAUGUAUAUUGUUGGCAAAGGUCCCCAAAUACCAACGGGAAUCUUAGUGAGUUUGUUUCUUUCAAUUAACAUAAUUUUUUCUCUAGGAGAGCUAAUCCUGCAUUUCCAGGUGUUCCUGAGGAGAGGGAAUCAAUGUGCCUCUGGAAACCCACCCCUGAAACGGAGUUGUGGCCUGGACGGGGAAUGCCCUCAUAGUUUGAAGUGCCUGGGUCCAGGUCCCCUUUUCGCUUCCCGUGCCAUUUUGAUGAAAUUUUGAGUGGCAUUGAUUAGCCCAAUGAUUUCCUUUAUUGCAACGAGGGCAAAGUCCUCAUGUUUUUUCUGUGGAGAGGGGAACCGUGUUUUAAGAUCCCUUCUGCCCAGAGGUCUGGCGGUGUUCUUUUUUGAAACAUCCAAUUUUUCUACACUUGACAUUGUGUAAUUGACAUUGUGGACCUCCCAAGUAGAAAGCAAUUAAGCACCAGCGGUAGAACACAGGUUAGUCUUAAGACCACGUGAUUAAGCAAGUUAGUUAGAUAAACUCCCUACACUCCUUUGUUUCUACCCUAAUUUAUUUAACUAAAGGUAAAGGGACUAGGCUGCCUUCAGCCAGAUUUAUUACCGAAGUUAUGCAAACUCUCAGGCCUUCCAAGAGGGUUUGUGGCUAUUAUAACUAAAAUUUUUCCCACCAGCUUGACUGAACCCCCACAUCUCUCCCUUUUUUGUUUUCUGCAUCAGGUCUUUUGCAUUGGAGACUGCAGAUGUGUGCAGCAACAGGUUUGUCGGGCAUGGCAGUCAUUGCUCUUAUUCCAGCUUUGCAUCCUAGAAUUAGCAAAUAACAUAAAACAAUCAUGAGUACAAUUUGCAACAUUCAGUUCCAGUCAGAGUGACCUCCAGGAGUGGGGGUCUAACCAGGAGAGAUGAUUUUGCACACCUUUCCAUAUGGCUGUUUGUUGGGUGUGUAGAUCUAUGGUGUGAGGGGAUUCUAAAAUUUUUGUUUUAAGUUGCUUUAUGUCUGCUGUUAAAUUGUCAUGAAAGGUUCCCCAGAGGUGUUGUUUCACCUCAUCUCAACUAUGUAUAGAUUGAUUCUAUGGUAGAGAAGUGACACAGAUAUGUUUAUGCUCCCAGUCACAGUUUAAUUGCUGUCGGAAUGCCAGUGCAUCUUGUCGCUCCCCCACGUAUUCUAAAGCUGCCUUGUGGGCUUGCAGACGUGCAAGAAUUUUUUGAUCUAUACCUUGCUGUAAGACUUCAUUAGACACAUUUUUGGCCAGAUUAUCUACAAAGGCAGCUGUUUGUACUGACUCAGUAAUAGAUGCGAGAGCAACGCGAGCAGUUGCCAGGAUGACUAUGGCUGAGACUAUAAAAGCCAUAAGUGUAACUAUGAAUCUUUUGUGUCUGACGUGGGAUAGGGUACGUUCUACAUUCUAAGGUGACAAGGACAGAGGAACCUUGCCAAUCAUGAGUCAGAUUGACUGGUAGGAAUGCCUCAGAUUGUCUCCUUAAUAUCACGACACUAGUAAUUUUUAAAUUAGAUAUAUUGUGGUGAUACAUGAGGCAAACCAAGCCUGUCCCUGCACCCGGGUCACAAACGUGGAGUUUUGAGGUGUAAUGGAAAUGUUAGUUCCCAUAAGGAAAACAUAUGGAUGGGUAGAGCAAAUCAGGCACUGAUCAGUGUGAUUAUGAAUAAAGGUUAUGGUAUAGUUGCGACUGGAUUUAUGACAUGUCCCAUGCCAGGUGUUAAGGGAGGUGCUAAGAUGUCCCAGGUGCCAUAAGUUUCACUGGGGUGGCAUGGACUUUACUUAGGGUCUGGGAUAUCUCAUCCCCCCAUCAGCCCAAAUUAUAGGGGAACGAGACGUGGCUUUGAAACUGUGAUUGAUGCUGUGAUGGAUGAAGACAUUAGUAAGGCUGCCCUACAAUCGGCCAUGGGGGCACCAGUCUAAGAUGUUAUAAUUGCCUAACUGGAGGCUAUGGGCUUGUCUCCUGUGACAGACCUCCCAGCUAAAGUGGAAUCCAUUACUUUCCUGGCUUUGUUCUUUAGCACAGGAAGGAAUGUUUGGGAAAGCGGUGUUGAUUGCAUUGCCCAGUUUGAGGCUUCCUGCAGCUAAGAAUGCUAAGGCAUUUCCUUCACAGUGAUGUAGCCAUACUUGUUUUGGGGCAGGUACACAGUAAGGGUUAGAGCCUUUAUAACUUACACACAGUGGGAGGAUAGUGGAGUGAUAUGUAAUGUUAUCUGGCAUCUUAGUCCAAUGUGUGCCAUUAU
rnacentral:lncRNA from 10 species